rnacentral:sRNA from 1 species
UGAGAUUAAGGGAUAAAGCCUUAAGGGAU